AGGUAAUACCGGUCUCCCCUCGUGCGCUUAUAAAUCCUCCUACCGAGGCAUCCAUUUCCGUUCCUCCCUCCCCACGCCAGUUCCCUAUUUCCAAAUUCCCCUUCACAGAAAACCCAACCCAGGUAAUUUUUUCACUGUAAAGUGCAAGCUAGAGAGGGCCGCCUCAUUCUUUGGAUUAUCACCUCAAGAGUCGCUGUCGUAAUCAGUUGCAAGGGGAUUUAAGAAGAUAAGUUUCAUCUUCUUUUAUACAUUGUCAAAUCAGUUACUGUUGCUGUUUGCUAUUAUACCUUGUGUUGUUGGGUUAGAUUCGAUUGUUGUUGUUGUUUGCAAGUUCUUGGCAUUCGUUUCGCCUAUCAGAGGAUGAGUUUUCAAGUCCGAAACGGUCGAAGGGACACGGCUAGAUUUCAUACCCCAAGUUCCCGUCGUCAAGAGUGGGUUCCAAGGGGAUCUACGGCGACUGUUGUGAGCCCGCCAGCAAGCGUCAAUUCAAACCAAAAUGGAGGUGGUGGGGAUUCAAAUUGUAGCUCUGCUCUGCCGGAUGGUCAGCAUAGAGGGAAUUCUUCCCAGAAAGGGCAUAUGGGCAAGCAGUCUAAUCCCGGAGGCAGAAGGGAGAGGGAAAAGCAGGAUGGAAAAGGAUUUAAACACUCAAACAUACCUCAACUUGUGCAAGAGAUUCAAGAGAAGCUCAUGAAGGGGACUGUUGAGUGUAUGAUUUGUUAUGACAUGGUAAGAAGAUCUGCAGCCAUUUGGUCUUGCUCAAGCUGUUACUCAAUUUUUCAUCUCAUUUGUAUCAAGAAAUGGGCCCGGGCUCCCACUUCUGUUGAUUUAUCUGCGGAGAAGAACCAGGGUUUUAAUUGGCGAUGCCCCGGCUGUCAAGCAGUUCAGUUAACUCCAUUGAAGGAGAUUCAGUAUGUUUGCUUUUGUGGGAAAAGGCCGGAUCCACCUUCAGAUUUAUACCUGACUCCACAUUCUUGUGGAGAACCGUGUGGCAAGCAACUUGAGAAGGAGGUUCCAGGGUCUGGUGUUAGUAAAGAGGAUCUUUGUCCCCAUAUUUGUGUUUUGCAAUGCCAUCCAGGUCCAUGUCCUCCUUGCAAGGCAUUUGCCCCACCACGCUUGUGCCCUUGUGGGAAGAAAAGAAUUACAACACGGUGCUCAGAUCGAAAAUCUGUUCUUACUUGUGGCCAGCGUUGCAAUAAACUCCUAGAUUGUUGGCGUCAUCAGUGUGACCAAGUUUGCCAUUUGGGACCUUGUGAUCCUUGUGAUGUUAUGGUAGAUGCCUUUUGUUUCUGUAAGAAAAAGGUGGAGGUUGUCCGUUGUGGUGCCAUGGCAGUUAAGGGGGAAGUGAAAAUAGAAGAUGGUGUCUUUUCUUGUAGCUCAAUUUGUGGAAAGAAGCUUAGCUGUGGAAAUCACUUCUGCGGUGAAAUUUGCCAUCCAGGCUUGUGUGGAGAGUGUGACCUUAUGCCAAGUAAGACCAAGACCUGUUAUUGUGGGAAGACAAGUUUGCUUGAGGAAAGGCAGAGUUGUCUAGACCCAAUUCCAACUUGUUCACAGAUAUGUGGAAAGCGACUUCCUUGCGGAAAGCAUCAAUGUAAAGAGUUAUGCCAUGCUGGUGAUUGUGCACCAUGUUUGAUCCUUACUUCCCAAAAAUGCCGUUGUGGAUCAACUUCUCGAACUGUAGAAUGCUACAAAACAAUGGUGGAUGAAGAGAAAUUUACUUGUGAGAAACCUUGUGGGCGGAAGAAGAAUUGUGGAAGACACCGCUGUAGUGAGAGGUGCUGUCCACUUUCUAAUUCCAACAAUUCUUUCUCUGGUGAUUGGGAUCCACACAUCUGUUCAAUGUCAUGUGGGAAGAAGCUGAGGUGCGGGCAACAUUCUUGUGAAUCACUUUGUCAUAGUGGCCAUUGCCCACCUUGCCUCGAAACCAUAUUUACAGAUUUGAUGUGUGCUUGUGGGAGAACAUCUAUCCCUCCACCAUUGCCUUGUGGUACACCCCACCCUUCAUGUCAGUACCCCUGUUCGGUUCCCCAACCUUGUGGCCAUACAUCUUCCCACAGCUGCCACUUUGGAGAUUGCCCACCUUGUUCGAUUCCUGUUGCAAAGGAGUGCAUUGGUGGACAUGUAGUUCUCAGAAAUAUUCCUUGUGGGUCAAGGGAUAUUAGAUGUAACAAGAUCUGUGGCAAGACUAGGCAAUGUGGUAUGCAUGCCUGUCUGAGAACUUGUCACCCACCACCUUGUGAUUCCUCAUGCGAAUCUGGUUCUGGACUGAAGGCUCCUUGUGGGCAGACGUGUGGUGCUCCGAGGAGAGAUUGCAGGCAUACUUGCAGUGUCUCUUGUCACCCUUCAUCCCCUUGUCCAGAUAAGAGGUGUGAUUUCCCUGUGACAAUCACUUGUUCUUGUAGCCGGAUUACUGCAACUGUUCCCUGUGAUGCUGGCGGUGUCAGUGGUGGGUUUAAUACUGAUACUGUCUUCGAAGCUUCCAUAGUUCAAAAGCUGCCAGUACCACUUCAGCCUGUGGAAGCGAAUGGCAAGAAAAUUCCACUUGGACAGAGGAAGCUUAUGUGUGAUGAGGAAUGUACAAAAUUGGAGCGGAGGCGGGUUCUUGCUGAUGCUUUUGAUAUCACUCCCCCAAAUUUGGAUGCUCUUCAUUUUGGUGAGAAUUUUGCUGUGUCUGAAUUGCUUUUGGACUUGUUUCGGCGUGAUUCAAAGUGGGUGCUAUCUGUGGAGGAGAGGUGCAAGUUUUUGGUCCUAGGCAAGAGCCGAGGGUCUAACACUGGUCUCAGGGUUCAUGUUUUCUGUCCAAUGCUGAAGGAAAAGAGAGAUGCGGUAAGGCUAAUAGCUGAGAGGUGGAAGCUUUCAGUUAAUGCUGCUGGCUGGGAACCGAAGCGAUUUAUUGUGGUUCAUGUUACACCCAAAUCUAAAGCUCCAUCUCGUGUGCUCGGAACCAAAGGUUCCACCCCAAUUAAUGUAUCACAUCCACCAGUUUUUGAUCAUUUUGUUGACAUGGAUCCUAGGCUUGUUGUUGCCCUACUAGAUUUGCCUAGGGAUGCUGAUAUAAGUGCAUUGGUCCUUAGGUUUGGGGGAGAAUGUGAACUGGUCUGGCUCAAUGAUAAGAACGCAUUGGCUGUAUUCAGUGAUCCAGCCCGAGCAGCUACUGCUAUGAGAAGGUUAGAUCAUGGUUCAGUGUAUCAUGGGGCUGUGAUGCUUCAAAAUGGUGGUGCAUCAACUGCACCCUCUGUUGCUAGUGCAUGGGGAGGUCCAGGAAUGCUCAAGGAGGGAGGAGCACUUACUGCGUUGAAGGGUGAUGCAUGGAAGAAAGCUGUUGUGCGGGAUCCUGGUUGGAAGGAAAGUUCAUGGGGUGGCGAAGAGUGGUCUAGUGGGCCUGCAGAUAUGCAGGUGUGGAAAGGGAAAGAAGCUGCAAUUGCUGUUUCAGUGAACCGAUGGAAUGUUUUGGACUCUGAAGUGACUUUGACCUCAUCUGCUUCAUCUGUCAGAAAUGAGGAUCCUGGAAAACAAAUGAGGGGUCUUUCCAUUUCAGAGGCAGAAGCAAAUGCCAGUUGUUCCAAUUCUGCAUUGCAGCAUGAAGGAAAUUCUGGUGAAGGGGAGGUGGCUGAAGUUGUAGAUGACUGGGAGAAGGCAUAUGAAUGAGCAAUGAGAUAUGUAAUUGGGGAAAUUAUCCUAAUCAUGGGAAAGCCAACCGCUAGCAUUCCGUGACCAAUGGCCAUGCUAGCAUUGCUUUGGGUUUUGUUCAAGAGGCUUUCUGAUGUAGGAAUGCGGACACAUCAAGCAUAUGCUUGCAGAAUAGAAAAUUGCUACGUGCGGUGUUGACUAUUUAGCAUUAGAGGGUGCUAGGUUGUGCCAAUAUGUAUUCUUUUGGUUCUCUACAUGGAUGCAUAAGAUUGAGUACCCCAAAUUGCAGCAGGAAAACACAUGCAUUAUUUCCGUGUUUACUUGGAUAAUUAUUUACGUCUAAUUUCUAGAGUUGUAUGCAAAUUAGUAUUGAGUUAUAAUCAUUGAUAUAAAAUAGUAACGUGAUUAAGUUGCAAGGAUAGGGAACUGCAGCAUAGUGAGAGUUAAUUUCUAGAAUGGCAAAUAAUAUCUUUUAACUUGAUUUGCUGUACUGUGAAUGAUGAAGCAACUCAAAACUGCAAGUUCUGUAACCACCACCCCCACCCACCAGCCCCCACUGCUUGGGGUGGGUUGCCCUCCCUACACAUGCUUUUGAAGGCUUAGAGGAAGGCAUGCUGUGUGUGUAGAGAGAGAGAGAGACUUUGUUUAAACAUGUUUGCUCACAAUCGAUAUUCUUCAGCUUUUGCCUACUGCUGAUUGUUUUUUCGGAACAUUUUAUCUUGGUUUAGUUCUGUGUUUUGCAAAUAAUGUGUAUAUGAACAUGUAUGUAUGUUUUAUAUUGUUCUCCCAAUUUUGUUUCAGGAUGGCUAAUGGCAAGUUGGAAGAGUUCUGAUCUGAAAACAGUUGGUUAUCUUAGAUGAUAUGUGAUUCAUAAAUAUUUUGGAACAUCCAUCUACCUCCUCUCUAUGCCAAUUUGUGUUUUAAAUGGUUUGGGUCAGUGGGACGGGUGUUGUUUUGUUUUCUUUUCUUUUGAAUAUAUUUUGGUUUCUGUAAGAAAAAUAUGGUUCCCUUUUGGAGAAUUCUCAGGAGUGCAGCAGUUGCCAGAAAUGAAGCUGCAUUUUGUUCAAUUGCAGCAGUAUGUAAAACAAGCCGGCUUUCCUACUAAAACUUGGAAGACAAAUAGAAAAAAUUUGGAGGGCUACAGGAAAGCUGUGUCCAAAUGAAAGUUUGGAGAGAUCUUGAAUUUGGAUCUAUUGAAUUUGAAUAAAAUAUAAUAUAAAAUUAUUUUCAAA